rnacentral:lncRNA from 1 species
CAACUCAAGGGUGCAACAGCUGCCUGCAGGUGUUAACCUGGAGUGUUUGAAGCACAGAUCUGGAGUCUGAUGACAGACCUCUACUCCCAUUUGGAGAAAAUGAGGUCAGCUGUAUCAACCAAAAAUGGAGCUCAUUGACCCUUCCAAUGGUAUUUCAUGUAAAAUAAAACAGUGCACAGUUGAAAUCAAGAGCUGAAUCCUUCUAAGAAGGAAGCCAAAUGGAUCAUAGAGAAGAAUCUGGCAGAAG